rnacentral:rRNA from 1 species
UACGGGGGGGGCAAGCGUUGUUCGGAAUUACUGGGCGUAAAGGGCUCGUAGGCGGCCAACUAAGUCGGACGUGAAAUCCCCAGGCUCAACCUGGGAACUGCAUCCGAUACUGGAUGGCUUGAAUUCGGGAGAGGGAUGCAGAAUUCCAGGUGUAGCGGUGAAAUGCGUAGAUAUCUGGAGGAAUACCGGGUGGCGAAGGCGGCAUCCUGGACCGACAUUGACGCUGAGGAGCGAAAGCCAGGGGAGCAAAGCGGGG